UAUAAGACUGGGAUAACUUCGGGAAACCGGAGCUAAUACCGGAUAACACUUGGAACCGCAUGGUUCUAAAGUGAAAGAUGGUUUUGCUAUCACUUAUAGAUGGACCCGCGCCGUAUUAGCUAGUUGGUAAGGUAACGGCUUACCAAGGCAACGAUACGUAGCCGACCUGAGAGGGUGAUCGGCCACACUGGAACUGAGACACGGUCCAGACUCCUACGGGAGGCAGCAGUAGGGAAUCUUCCGCAAUGGGCGAAAGCCUGACGGAGCAACGCCGCGUGAGUGAUGAAGGGUUUCGGCUCGUAAAACUCUGUUAUUAGGGAAGAACAAAUGUGUAAGUAACUAUGCACAUCUUGACGGUACCUAAUCAGAAAGCCACGGCUAACUACGUGCCAGCAGCCGCGGUAAUACGUAGGUGGCAAGCGUUAUCCGGAAUUAUUGGGCGUAAAGCGCGCGUAGGCGGUUUCUUAAGUCUGAUGUGAAAGCCCACGGCUCAACCGUGGAGGGUCAUUGGAAACUGGGAAACUUGAGUGCAGAAGAGGAAAGUGGAAUUCCAUGUGUAGCGGUGAAAUGCGCAGAGAUAUGGAGGAACACCAGUGGCGAAGGCGACUUUCUGGUCUGUAACUGACGCUGAUGUGCGAAAGCGUGGGGAUCAAACAGGAUUAGAUACCCUGGUAGUCCACGCCGUAAACGAUGAGUGCUAAGUGUUAGGGGGUUUCCGCCCCUUAGUGCUGCAGCUAACGCAUUAAGCACUCCGCCUGGGGAGUACGACCGCAAGGUUGAAACUCAAG
rnacentral:rRNA from 1 species